AAAGUUGUUGUGGUUAAAAAGCUCGUAGUUGAACCUUGGGCCUGGCUGGCCGGUCCGCCUCACCGCGUGUACUGGUCCGGCCGGGCCUUUCCCUCUGUGGAACCCCAUGCCCUUCACUGGGUGUGGCGGGGAAACAGGACUUUUACUGUGAAAAAAUUAGAGUGCUCCAGGCAGGCCUAUGCUCGAAUACAUUAGCAUGGAAUAAUAGAAUAGGACGUGUGGUUCUAUUUUGUUGGUUUCUAGGACCGCCGUAAUGAUUAAUAGGGACAGUCGGGGGCAUCAGUAUUCAAUUGUCAGAGGUGAAAUUCUUGGAUUUAUUGAAGACUAACUACUGCGAAAGCAUUUGCCAAGGAUGUUUUCAUUAAUCAGGAACGAAAGUUAGGGGAUCGAAGACGAUCAGAUACCGUCGUAGUCUUAACCAUAAACUAUGCCGACUAGGGAUCGGACGGUGUUAUUUUUUGACCCGUUCGGCACCUUACGAGAAAUCAAAGUGCUUGGGCUCCA
rnacentral:rRNA from 1 species